rnacentral:rRNA from 1 species
ACAGGUGAUAGUAAUACAUCCGGUGGAUGCCUUGGUGUGUUCAUUGAAGGAUUAUGGGGAUCAAAACGAACCAUAACAGUUUGUUUGUAGGAAACGAAUUCUACAUCGAAACUCAGUACACAGAGAACUGAAACAUCUUAGUACCUGUAGGAAAAUAUAUCCAGGAUAUUCCGUUAGUAGUGGCGAAUGAAAGCGGAUCGUGGCUUGUUAUGAUGACACUUAAAGAUGUUGAUUACUCGAAAUAGUAAGCAGUAUUUGGUUAAAAGCCCGAUACCAUCUUAGUAGUUAUCAAAGGAAAGUAGAACGAGACACAACGAAUCUCGUCCGAAGAUAGGAGGACCACCUUCUAAGCCAAAAUACAUGGAUGCAACCGAUAGUGAACUAGUACCGUGAGGGAAAGGUGAAACAGAUACCCGAACAGGGUAGUGAAACAGAUCCUGAAACCGGAUGUUGACAUGCAGUCGGAGGGUCCAAAGACCUGACGACGUACCUUUUGCAUAAUGGGUCAACGAGUUGCUGUUGCAAGCGAAGCUUUAUACUAAACAUAUUAAAAGCGAAGCGAAAGCGAGUCCACAAAGGGCAACAACAAGUUUGCAGCUUCAAACCCGAAACCGAGUGAUCUAACCAUGGACAGAUUGAAGACUGAUUAAUCCCUGUUGAAGGAUCGAACCCGUGCGUGUUGCAAAACGCUGGGAUGAUCUGUGGUUAGGGGUGAAAGGCCAAUCAAACUCGGAGAUAGCUGGUUCUCUGCGAAACCUAUGUAGGUAGGUUGUUGGUUUCAUCUUAAAGGAGGGUAGAGCUCUGGAUGGGUGGGCAUAACGAAAGUUAUGUUAAAUCCAACCAAACUACGAAUAUCUUUUUGAGUAAUUAACCAACAAACACACCAUGAGCUACAACGUCCAUGGUGGAGAGGGAAACAACCCAGACCUUCGAUCAAGGUCCUUAAAUCUGAUCUAAGUGAAGAAGAUAGUAACCAUCCAAUGUCGAUCAGAAUGUAGGCUCAGAAGCAGCCAUCAUCUAAGGAAAGCGUAACAGCUCACUGAUUAACGGGCGGUUGAGUCCAAAAUGUAACGGGACUAAGUUCAGUACCGAAGUCAAGGACAUUGCCAACCGAGCAAUGUGGUAGCAGAGCAUUCCGUAAGCCAUGGAAGGCAACCCGUGAGGGUUGUUGGAGGUAUCGGAAGCGAGAAUGUUGACAUGAGUAACGAUAAUUGAAAGUAAGAAUCUUUCACACCGAAAGACCAAGGAUUCCCAUUCCAGGUUGUUCCGAAUGGGGUUAGUCGAUACCUAAGGUAAAGCGAAAACGCAUAGCCGAUGGCAAUCACGUUAAUAUUCGUGAACCAUUUCCAAGUGAUUUAACAAGAGAUGUGUUUAUGUCUUAUCGGAUUGACAUUAGCACUCCAAACGUUAACAGGAAAUAGCUUGGAAAUCUUGAUCGUACCGAAAACCAACACAGGUGGUUGGGUAGAGUAUACCAAGGUGUAUGAGAUAAUUGUGCUGAAGGAACUCGGCAAAUUGUAUGUGUAACUUCGGAAGAAACAUAACCUGCUUUGGGCAACCAGAUCCAGGUGUAACUGAAACGAGGGAAGCGACUGUUUAUCAAAAACACAGGACUCUGCCAAAUCGUAAGAUGACGUAUAGAGUCUGACGCCUGCCCGGUGCUGGCAAGUGAAACUCCGGUUGUUCGAAGCAAACGGUCUAAGCCCCAGUAAACGGCGGCCGUAACUAUAACGGUCCAAAGGUAGCGAAACCCCUUGUCGGGUAAGUUCCGACCAGCAUGAAUGGCGUAACGACUUCCCUGCUGUCUCCAGCACAAGCUCAGUGAAAUUGAAAUCCCCGUGAAGAUGCGGGGUACCUGCGGCAAGACGGAAAGACCCCGUGCACCUUUACUGCAACCUUGUAUUGAUGUGAAUUUGAUUUAUCGUAUAGCGUAAAUGGUAUAACGAUGACAAUUGGAUUCAGGUCCAAUUCAAGUUGUCAAUGAAACACCAUUCGGUUGCCAAAUAACAUCUGAUUACUGGCAUGUUAUUCUUGAAGUAAAACACUGCAAGGCGGGUAGUUUGACUGGGACGGUCACCUCCUAAAGAGUAACAGAGGUGUACACAAGGUAGGCUCAUGACGGUUGGAAAUCGUCAGUAGAGUACAAUGGCAUAUGCCUGCUUAGACUGCGAGGCAGACAUGUCGAGCAGAGACGAAAGUCGGUCAUAGUGAUCCAACGGAUCCAAGUGGAAGGGCCGUUGCUCAACGGAUAAAAGGUACGCCGGGGAUAACAGGCUAAUAGCUCCCAAGAGUUCUUAUCGACGGAGCUGCUUGGCACCUCGAUGUCGACUCAUCGCAUCCUGGGGCUGAACAAGGUCCCAAGGGUAUGGCUGUUCGCCAUUUAAAGCGGUACGUGAGUUGGGUUCAGAACGUCGCAAGACAGUUCGGUCCCUAUCUGCCGUGGGUGUAAGAAUGUUGAUUAGGAUUCUGUCUCCAGUACGAGAGGACCGAGAUGGACAUACCUCUGGUCUCCCUGUUGUCGUUGCCAACCGGCAUGGCAGGAUGGCUAAGUAUGGAAUAGAUAACAGCUGAAUGCAUCUAAGCCGGAAGCCAACCUAGAAACAAACAUUCUAUUAAGAGAAGUGACAGACCAUCACGUUUAUAGGCCAGAUGUGUAAGCAUGGCAACAUGCUCAGCUAACUGGUACUAACACCUCAAAAACCCGAUAAC